rnacentral:rRNA from 1 species
UGUGACAUACCUCGCGUUGCCUCGGCAGGUCGCGUCCUACCCUGUACAUCCUACCCUGGAUAGACUUGCCCGGUGGUCGACUCUGCCCUGCCGAUGGCUCAUGCAACUCUGUUUCUCCAGCAUUGGACUUCUGAAAAGUAAACUAAAUCAGUUAAAACUUUCAACAACGGAUCUCUUGGUUCUGGCAUCGAUGAAGAACGCAGCGAAAUGCGAUAAGUAAUGUGAAUUGCAGAAUUCAGUGAAUCAUCGAAUCUUUGAACGCACAUUGCGCCCACCAGUAUUCUGGUGGGCAUGCCUGUUCGAGCGUCAUUUCAACCCUUAAGCCCUCGUCGCUUAGCGUUGGGAGCCUACUGGAACCUCUCCUGUAGCUCCCCAAAGUCAGUGGCGGAGCCGGCUCGCACUCCAGACGUAGUAGCUUUUACCUAUCGCCUGUAGCGUGGACCGGUCCCCUGCCGUAAAACCCCCCAAUUCUUAUAGGUUGACCUCGGAUCAGGUAGGAAUACCCGCUGAACUUAAGCAUAUCAAUAA